AAAAAUGGAUCUGAUGGAUCCGGUGGAUCUGGUGGAUCCGAUGGAUCCAUUUUUUUUAUAUAACUAAAAUCCAUUGGAUCCGUCGGAUCCAUCAGAUCCAUUUUUUU
rnacentral:miRNA from 1 species